GACGAACGCUGGCGGCGUGCCUAAUACAUGCAAGUUGAGCGCUGAAGGUUGGUACUUGUACCAACUGGAUGAGCAGCGAACGGGUGGGUAACGCGUGGGGAAUCUGCCUUUGAGCGGGGGACAACAUUUGGAAACGAAUGCUAAUACCGCAUAAAAACUUUAAACACAAGUUUUAAGUUUGAAGGAUGCAAUUGCAUCACUCAAAGAUGAUCCCGCGUUGUAUUAGCUAGUUGGUGAGGUAAAGGCUCACCAAGGCGAUGAUACAUAGCCGACCUGAGAGGGUGAUCGGCCACAUUGGGACUGAGACACGGCCCAAACUCCUACGGGAGGCAGCAGUAGGGAAUCUUCGGCAAUGGACGAAAGUCUGACCGAGCAACGCCGCGUGAGUGAAGAAGGUUGUCGGAUCGUAAAACUCUGUUGGUAGAGAAGAACGUUGGUGAGAGUGGAAAGCUCAUCAAGUGACGGUAACUACCCAGAAAGGGACGGCUAACUACGUG
rnacentral:rRNA from 1 species